AAGGGCUGUUCAGUAGGUCAACAGGUAGCUCGCUCUUUGUGCAAUGAAUUUUUGGUGUCUUAACGCAGAACACCUCAACAAAUCCCUGGGGAGAGGUACUUUUCUUAGGUGGACACAUCUCUCAUGAGAACUGGACCACAAGAAGAAAGCAGCCAACGGUCUACCUUGGAUCCUGAGCCAAAAGUGCUCGAGUCAAUGAAAACUCUUUCAGUUGAUGCCAUAGCCUCCAAAAUGUAUUGCCAGUGAGGUAGAAUGACAUUUGCAUGGCUUGAGCUUUACUUGUUGUUAAUCCCAGCUGUAUAUAUUUACAGGCAGAAUAAAACAUAUACAGAAAAA